rnacentral:snoRNA from 1 species
UGCAAUGAAGAUUAACCAACUCUAUUCUUCUCCUUCCACUGAAACUUAGUGUAGAAAAAGAGUUUUUUAUCGUUUUGGAAAUUGGUCUCUUAAGAGUUACUAUUUUCAAAGCGGUACUGAGC